GGCGGGUUAGCUCAGUGGUAGAGCACUUCACUCGUAAUGGAAGGGGUCCCGGGUUCAAACCCCGGUCUCGCCU
rnacentral:tRNA from 1 species